CCUUGUACGUAGCGGCGACGGGUGAGUAACACGUGGGUAACCUACCUAUAAGACUGGGAUAACUUCGGGAAACCGGAGCUAAUACCGGAUAAUAUUUCGAACCGCAUGGUUCGAUAGUGAAAGAUGGUUUUGCUAUCACUUAUAGAUGGACCCGCGCCGUAUUAGCUAGUUGGUAAGGUAACGGCUUACCAAGGCGACGAUACGUGGCCGACCUGAGAGGGUGAUCGGCCACACUGGAACUGAGACACGGUCCAGACUCCUACGGGAGGCAGCAGCC
rnacentral:rRNA from 1 species